GAGAUAAGAGGAAUAGAAAAUGAAAAGUAAAUAAGAACAAGUCUUCAAUUAGAAAUAGUGGCGUCUCUCUUCAAUGAAUUUUUCCGAAGCAGUAACCACUUCAAUUGGAGAGCUCAUUUGAUUCUCAAAACUAACUUUGUUCUUGGCCUUUCAUACAUUCCAACACAGGCAAGCUAGCAGGUCUAUUUUCCUCUCCCCACCAUGACUACUACGUAGGGGCGCCGAUGAAGCUUCCCACCAUGCUCAGAAGCUUGAGAACUAAUUGGCAUCUCUGACAGAUUGGACUUGUUGCGGAGAACUUUCGGUGCAGUUGUGAAAGAAUAGGGAGUCGUUCGUGCAAGCACUUCCAAAUAAAAAUCUGGACCUUGUGAGAGAUUUUUCAUUUUCAAAUCUUUAAUAUAGGCAACUUGAAAGGACUGCAUGUAAGAUGCCAUAAUUGGAAGAAUACUCAUGGGGUAAGGAGGAUACAGCCACACAUCUGAAAAAAUAUGAAUUGAAGUUCCAGAACCAACUCUCCAAUGGAGGCCCUUUUCAACUACUUUUUGGCCCUCCAACAUACUGCGCCAUCCCCAAGAAGAUGCAGGUCAGGCGGCACCUCGCUGAGGCAUGUUAGAAGCUUUUGAUUAGCAAAGAUCCUUAUCUUUUGGGGUUCUAAUUGGUUAUAUGUAUUUAUUUAGAUACUUAUUAUCUCCACUUCUAUAAAUGAUGUAUUAACUUUCUCUUAGAGGUUAUUUUGGAGAAAUAGGUUCUGUAACUUUGUAUUUUAGAUUUUCUAUAUGUAUGUAUGUAUAUAUAUAUUUAUGUGCUCGGGCCGGUUUAUCUUCGCGAGCUGAGUUUUGAGUUUUGUUAUCUGUAUUUUGGAACUCUUAGAUUACAAUCUUGU